GUCAAAUCAUCAUGCCCCUUAUGUCCUGGGCUACACACGUACUACAAUGGCCGUCAACAACGGGAAGCGAAGCCGCGAGGCGGAGCAAAUCCCCAAAAACGGUCUCAGUUCGGAUUGCAGGCUGAAACCCGCCUGCAUGAAGUUGGAAUUGCUAGUAAUCGCGAAUCAGCAUGUCCGCGGUUCCGAAUAGUUCCGGCCUU
rnacentral:rRNA from 1 species